AACGAACGCUGGCGGCAGGCCUAACACAUGCAAGUCGAGCGCCCUUUCGGGGGAGCGGCGGACGGGUGAGUAACGCGUGGGAAUAUGCCCUUCUCUACGGAAUAGCCUCGGGAAACUGAGAGUAGUACCGUAUACGCCCUUUGGGGGAAAGAUUUAUCGGGGAAGGAUUAGCCCGCGUUGGAUUAGGUAGUUGGUGGGGUAAUGGCCUACCAAGCCGACGAUCCAUAGCUGGUUUGAGAGGAUGAUCAGCCACACUGGGACUGAGACACGGCCCAGACUCCUACGGGAGGCAGCAGUGGGGAAUCUUAGACAAUGGGGGCAACCCUGAUCUAGCCAUGCCGCGUGAGUGAUGAAGGCCUUAGGGUUGUAAAGCUCUUUCAGCUGGGAAGAUAAUGACGGUACCAGCAGAAGAAGCCCCGGCUAACUCCGUG
rnacentral:rRNA from 1 species